AUCCAGCUGACGAGUCCCAAAUAAAACUAAACGCGCGUCCUGGAU
rnacentral:hammerhead_ribozyme from 1 species